GGCGUGUGACUGGCGGAUCAGUGGGAAAACCACAGGGAGCACGCAUAGGACAAAAAAGAGAGCCGGCCGCCUGGGCAU
rnacentral:ncRNA from 1 species